rnacentral:rRNA from 2 species
AUUGAACGCUGGCGGCAUGCCUUACACAUGCAAGUCGAACGGCAGCACGGGGGCAACCCUGGUGGCGAGUGGCGAACGGGUGAGUAAUACAUCGGAACGUGUCCUGGAGUGGGGGAUAGCCCGGCGAAAGCCGGAUUAAUACCGCAUACGCUCUAAGGAGGAAAGGGGGGGAUCUUCGGACCUCCCGCUCAAGGGGCGGCCGAUGGCAGAUUAGCUAGUUGGUGGGGUAAAGGCCUACCAAGGCGACGAUCUGUAGCUGGUCUGAGAGGACGACCAGCCACACUGGGACUGAGACACGGCCCAGACUCCUACGGGAGGCAGCAGUGGGGAAUUUUGGACAAUGGGGGAAACCCUGAUCCAGCAAUGCCGCGUGUGUGAAGAAGGCCUUCGGGUUGUAAAGCACUUUUGUCCGGAAAGAAAACCUCUGCCCUAAUACGGCGG